rnacentral:rRNA from 1 species
UACGUAGGGGGCUAGCGUUGCUCGGAAUCACUGGGCGUAAAGCGCACGUAGGCGGAUUGCUAAGUCAGGGGUGAAAUCCUGGAGCUCAACUCCAGAACUGCCUUUGAUACUGGCGGUCUCGAGUUCGGGAGAGGUGAGUGGAACUGCGAGUGUAGAGGUGAAAUUCGUAGAUAUUCGCAAGAACACCAGUGGCGAAGGCGGCUCACUGGCCCGGUACUGACGCUGAGGUGCGAAAGCGUGGGGAGCGAACAGG